GAAGCGGCAACAGCUCAAAUUUGAAAUCUGACCCUUUGGGGUCCGAGUUGUAAUUUGCAGAGGGUGUUUCGGGCACGGUGCCGGUUUAAGUCCUUUGGAACAGGGCGUCAUAGAGGGUGAGAACCCCGUAUGUGACCGGUCGCCAAACCCAUGUGAAACCCCUUCGACGAGUCGAGUUGUUUGGGAAUGCAGCUCAAAAUGGGUGGUAAAUUUCAUCUAAAGCUAAAUAUUGGCCAGAGACCGAUAGCGCACAAGUAGAGUGAUCGAAAGAUGAAAAGCACUUUGGAAAGAGAGUCAAACAGCACGUGAAAUUGUUGAAAGGGAAGCGCUUGCGACCAGACCUGCUCGCGGGUGAUCAGCGGUGCUUUUCGCGCCGUGCACUCAUCCGCGAUCAGGCCAGCAUCGGUUCAGGCGGCCGGAUAAAGACUCGGAGAAUGUUGCUCCCUCCGGGGAGUGUUAUAGCUCCUUGUGCAAUACGGCCAGCCGGGACCGAGGACCGCGCUUCGGCUAGGAUGCUGGCGUAAUGGUCGUAAGCGACCCGUCUUGAAACACGGACCAAGGAGUCUAACAUCUGUGCGAGUGUUUGGGCGUCAAACCCAUGCGCGCAAUGAAAGUGAACGUGAGGUGGGAACCCUUUCGGGGGCGCACCAUCGACCGAUCCAGAUGUCUUCGGAUGGAUUUGAGUAAGAGCACAGCUGUUGGGACCCGAAAGAUGGUGAACUAUGCCUGAAUAGGGUGAAGCCAGAGGAAACUCUGGUGGAGGCUCGCAGCGGUUCUGACGUGCAAAUCGAUCGUCAAAUUUGGGUAUAGGGGCGAAAGACUAAUCGA
rnacentral:rRNA from 1 species